ensembl:lncRNA
GAUGGCAGUCUGGCAUGCUGUAUUAGCAUUCUCAUAUACCAGUUGUUUAACAAUUCCCCAUCAACCACCAGGCUGUUGACUACCUGCAAAAAAAUGGAGUGAACACAGUUCAGGAAUUGAGUCAUGUGAGAAGUCUGUGGGGUAGUGGACCAAGCCAUCAGAACUGGUAUCUGGUUUUCCCUGGUGUUGACUGGAUGAUUCUGAUGCCAGCAGGACUCCUCUGGACAUGAACUCAGGACCUUUUUCAAGGUGAUUAAUUCAGCUUUCUGAACAGAAGUCCCAGCAACUGGAGUUUUCAGCAGAUGUCUGGUGCCACUUGAUUGAUGAAUCAUAGCAGACCGGAUCUUGCCUCUGGAUCCAGAGGUAUAUAGGAAAAAACUUUUCAUCUUCUGGGCCUGACAGCCAGUCUCCACCCAAGUUGCCAUGGAAACCACAGGAACCUGAGAACUGCUGUGGAGACCACAGGGAACUGUUUACUUCGUGGACUACAGACCAACUUCUGUUAUUUUAAUUAAUACCUGACUCCUAGAUUAUAAUUGAUUCUUCCCAGAUUUCUGACUACAUUGAAGCUAAGCUUGAGAGCUAGAAAACAGACCUAGCUCCUUACCCCAAGGAAGUAUUGCUCUACAUGGCUACUGGUGUCCUGGAACUUACCAUGUGAAUCAAGAUGGCCUCAAACUCAGAGAUGCAUUUGUAUGUCUCCAAAACACACCACUAGGUCCAGG